CUUGUUAUUGACCUUGUGACCUUCUUUCACAUUUUUGAGGUACAGGCUUCAAAUUUGGACCAUAUGCAUAGUUUUUGUUCCAAAUUAAAAUUUGACCUUGAUUUUGACCUAGUGACUUACUUUCACAUUUCUUAAGCUACAGCCUUCAAAUUUGAACCACAAGCGUAGUUUUGUGUACUGAAAUGACCUUUGAUCUUAAGAUAGACCUAGUGACCUACUUUCACAUUUCUGAAGGUAGAGGCUUCAAAUUUGGACCACUUGCAUAGUUUUGUGUUCUGAAAAAAUAUUGACUUUGAUUUUGACCCAGUGACCAACUUUCACAUUUCAUAAGCUACAGCCUUCAAAUUUGAACCACAUGCAUAGUUUUGUGUACCGAAAAUUAACUUUGAUCUUGAGAUUGACAUAUUGACCUACUUUCACAUUUCUAAAGGAAGAGGCUUCAAAUUUGGACCACUUGCAUAGUUUUGUGUUCCGAAAUAAAGUUUGACUUUAAUUUUGACCUAGUGACCUUAUUUUACAUUUCUCAAGCUACAUCCUUAAAAUUUGAAGCACAUGCAUAGUUCUGUCUACCGAAAUGAACUUUGACCUUGAAAUUGAUCUAGUGACCUGCUUUCAUAUUUCUCAAUAAAAUCUGUAAAAAGAUCCUUUGGAAGCAAAGAAUACAACCAAGAAGAAUAAUAGCAGACUCGGUUUGAUUGAGUCUGUUCAUGAGAGGUAAUGAAAUGUGCAACACCUCUCACGCCCCCUAGCAACGGCUUAAGCGGAACUCUAUUAUAUAUAUGUUGAAUGGACUCCAUGAUCCCAAAGGACCAGAAAAUAUAACAACACUGAAUCCAAGUACGGGGAGACUUUUUACAGCCGCCACACGGCACUUAAAGAUUGCUGUUGUGAUGGUUAAUAAAAUCUGUAAAAAGAUCCUUUGGAAGCAAAGAAUACAACCAAGAAGAGCAAUAGCAGACUCGGUUUGAUUGAGUCUGUUCAUGAGAGGUAAUGAAAUGUGCAACACCUCUCACGCCACAGCUUUCAAAUUUGGACCACAUUACACAUUGUUUUAUACCGAAAGGAAAUUUGACAUUGAUUUUGACCUUUAUGUAGUCUUGAAAUUUGGAACAUUCAAAAAUGGCUCAGUGUAUGACGCCAAGAUCACUCUGUAAUCUCUUGUUAGGUUAAAGGUCAAGGUCAGAUCAAACCAGAAUGGUACAACUUUUGUUUACAGUGAGCAUAUAAUAUCUGUUCCUUGUGUAAUUACUAAAUGCAUCAAGGGGGCAUUUCGUGUUCGACGAGCUCUUGUUCAACUGAUCUUUAUGAAAUUUAAUCUGAAUGAUAACCUUGAUAAAUUCUAGGCCAGUGUCGAAAAUGGGUUAUCUUAGGUGUAAAAGUAGGUCACAAGGUCAAGUCAAAGAAAAAAACUUGUAUAUGCGGUAUAGACUGUAUUUUCAACUGAUCUUCAUGGAGUUUUGUCAGAAUGAUAACCUUUAUAAAAACAAGGCCAAGUUGAAAAAAAAGGUUAUCUGAGGUCAAAAACUAGGACACUAGGUGAAAUCAAAGAUAAACCUUGUGUAUUCGAUAGAGGCUGUAUUUCUCAAUCGGGGACCUUCGUGGCCGAGUGGUUAGAGUCGUUUACUUCAAACCAUUUGCCACUCAUCGAUGUAGGUUCGAAACCUCAUUUUGGGCGUAGAAUUCUUCACGUGAGGAGAUGGCUUACGGAAGGUCGGUGGUUCUACCCAGGUGCUCGCUCGUGAUGAAAUAGUGCAAGGAGGGGCACCUGGGGUCUUCCUCCACCAUAAAAGCUGGAAAGUCGUCAUAUGACCUAAAAUUGUGUCAGUGCGACGUUAUCCCCAACAAAAUAAAUAAAUAAAUUUUCAAUCAAUUUUCAUGAAUUUUGGUCAGAAUGAUUGCCUUGAUAAAACCUAGGUCAAAAUUAAAUAUAUGGGUCACCCAGGUUCAGAACCUAGGUCACUAUAUCAAAUACGCGAAAAAACCUUAAGCAUGUAAUAGGGGCUGCAUUUUACACCUGAUUUCAGUGAAAUUUAAUCUGAGUGUUUAUCUAUAUAAGAUCUAGAUGGAGUUUGAAUACGGGUCAUUUUAGGGCUAAAACUAUAUCACCCGAUCAAAUUAAAGAAAAAUCUUGUAUACGCUAUAGGGCCUGCAUUUUACACAGGAUAUUUAUAAAAUUUAGUCAAAUGAUUACCAUGAUGAUGUCUAGGUCAGGUUAGAAUAUUGGCCAUAUGUGGUCAAAAACUAAGUCAAAUAAAAUAAAACAUUGUGUAUACAAUAGAGACUGUAGUUUUCAAUUGAUUUUUAUGAAAUUUUGUCAGAAUGAUAGCCUUGAUGAAAUUAAGACGAAAUUUGAAUAUGGUUGUGUGGCGUAAAAAAAAACAACAAAACAGGUCAUUAGGAAAAAUCAAAGAAAAAACAUGAUAUAACGUAUGCAAUAGAGGCUGUAUUUCUCAAUUGAGAUUGAUGACCAAGUUUCAUUAAGAUAUGGUCAUAAAUGUAGCCUCUAAAGUGUAUAAAUAGUUUUUUCUUCGAUCUGACCCAGUGACCUAGUUUUUUACCAGACAUGACACAGAUUCGAACUUGACACAAAGAUCGCCAAAAUUAACAUUCUGACUAAGUUGCGUGAAAAUACAGUUAUAAUUGUGGUCUCUAGAGUGUUAACAAGCUUUUCUUUGAUUGGACCUAGUGACCUCGUUUUUGACCCAACCUAACCCAAAUUAAAACUUGACUUGUAGAUCAUCAAGAUCAACAUUCUGACCAAGUUUCAUUAAGAUAUGAUCAUAAAUGUGGCUUUUCCUUUGAUUUGACCUGGUGACCUAGCUUUAAUUCAUACAUAAUCCAGAUUCAAACUUGUACUUGAUUUGGUCCUAAUGACUGCCUUGAUUACAUCCAUGUCAAAUUAGAAUGUAGGUCUAGUCAAGUACGACAUUUUGCGCUCUGGGGAAAAAAUGAUGUAAUGGUCAUGUUUAACAGCAGCAAGAUUUACAGCAGCAAAAUGGAGAAAAAGAAAAAAAAAAAGAAAAAAAAAUACCAGUCAAUCGGAAAUGUCGUCAAUUUUGAUUUUCAUAACGGUCCGUUGACUUUCGUUAGGUGGCGCAUAUUACCUUAAUGAAAAUUGGUCAGAAUAUUAGUCUCCUUGAAAUCAUUAGGUCAAACAUGUUUACACUGUUAUGGUGUGUUUCUUAGGUGAGCGACUUAGGGCCAUCUUUGCCCCUUUGUUUAUGGUAGUCUUGUGCAGUUUGGCGUAUUCAUUUUGUUUGAAAACUUAUGUGUAGGCAUUUCCAAAAAGCAAUGAAUUUCGGCAAAUAGAAAACUUUGGGUGCAUGUGUUAGCUCACCUGAGCCAAAAAGCUCAGAGUGAGCUAUCGUGAUCCCCUCGUGUCCGGUGUCCGUCCAUUUAACUUCACCAAUUGUGUUUAAAAGACAUAUCUUCCAAAACCGCUGAAUGGAUUUUGAUAAAACUUGGCAUGAAUUUUUCUUGAUGGUCCUCUACUAAAUUUGUUCAAACGGUUCCGCAUGGUUGCACAUAGGGGGCACCAGAGCUAAAAAUAGAAAAAUCUUUAAACGACAUCUUCUAAACUGUUGGACCGAUUUUGAAAUAAUUUCACAGAUGACUGAAAUGGUCUUUAUGUCACCCUCUACUGAGAUAAUUCAGAUUAUACCGAUUCGUCAGAAAUAUGGCUGCCAGGGGCCAUGGUCACUUUUCCCUAUAUGUGUUUGGUGGAAAUUUAAAAAUCUUCUUGAGUAAAACGGCUGGCCCGGUUCUAAAACAUUUCUGCACAAAUGGUCCCUGUGUGACUCUCUACCAAAAUUGUUGAAAUUAUACCGAUUCGUAAAAAAAAUGGCUCCCAGGGGGCUUGGUCACUUUUCUCUAUAUGUAUAUAGUGGAAAUAAAACAAAUAAAGAAACCUUCGUGUGUGAAACGACUGGCCCGAUUUUAAAAUGAUUUUACGCAAACCUGAACGAAUUUAGAUGAAACUUUACACAAGGAUCUCUGGGUAGAUUUUUGCCCUAAGGUUAAUACAAACAUGUCACGGACCACAUGUGUCUGACAUGUACUUACUAUAGACUUUUAUAUGAGCCGUGCCAUAGGAAAACCAACAUGAUAGUGGUUUGCGACCAGCAUGGAUCCAGACCAGCCUGCGCACCCGCACAGUCUGGUCAGGAUCCAUGUUGUUCGCUUUCAAAGCAUAUUGCAAUUAGAGAAACUGUUAGCGAACAGCAUAGAUCCUGACCAGACUGCGCUGGUCGCAAAGCCACUAUGCUGCUUUUCUCAUGGCGUGGCUCAUAUAAGAAACUUUGAAAAUCAAUAAUAACCAGAGUCUUGAAAUUUGUUGUGUGAUAUUGGAUUUGUAAUUUCUACAGCAGUUGAUUAAUUUAUUGCCCUAGGUUUAAAACUGUGUGUAAUAGGUAUAUAAUAUAGGCUAACAUGGCAGAAACCUAACUAUGUACUAACACAAACACACUAGAAGCCUUGUAUACAGGUGAGCGCGUUAGUAGAGAUUCAUUGUGUUUUGUAUAACUAAUGCAGUUAUUUAAUGAAUUGAAUGAUAUCAUUUUACAUAUCUACCUAAAUUUGAUUCAGUUUUAACACAUCUGUACAAUAUGAAUGAAUAGAUGUUUCACGAGUAAGAUUUAUUAGUAUUACAUCGCAAAAAAGGGGCUAAGAACUGUAAAAUAAAUUUGACACAAUUACCGUAAGCUUCCAAAAGUUAAAUUUAUAUUUGCUUCUUAACUUAAAAAAGGAAGACAGAUGGCAUUAUGCGCAUCUUACUGCACAUGGUGUGUUUUGGUGAAUGUUUUAUAGAAGCAAUUUUCGGCUGCUACAUCAAGGAUUGUGCCUACUACUGCAUUAUUUUAAUAGUAUAAUUCACACAGUAAACAAAUUGUCUUGGCCUUAUAUUUGUCUCUAUCAAUUUGUAAAUAGAUAUUAUGUUAUUUCUCAUUUUCUUCAAGCAAAGCAUGUACAAAAAUUAUCAUCUUGGAAAUGUUAUUUUGUGGUGAGUUUUUAAUGAAAAUUGGUCACAAUAUUUGUCUCCGUGAAUUCACUAGGUCAUCCAUGUUUACACUGUUACUGUAUGUUACUCAGGUUAGCGACCUAGGGCUAUGUUGGUAUUCUUGUCAUUAAUUUUACACAAUGAUUGACAUUAAUUUUGUUUCUGUAAUUUUCGAUUCUGUGUGCCGUGACUAAGGCAGUAGUCUUGUUUAUCAAUGAUGCGGAAGGACCGUAAACGCGGUUUCAAACACUUUUAUAUGUUUUGAGUAUUGAUGAUAAUGGAGGGUGCUAUCUGCCAUAUUAUAAAUAGCUAUAUCAUAUUGCUAAAUACUUAUCGAAUGCACUUAAAUUGCAAACAUAUUUACUAGCUCAUUUCUGAUUACAAAGUUAAUUCACAUACAUUAAAACUUUUAUGUUCAUGUUACUUAAUUGAAUUUUGCAAGUUGUACAAUCCUGCAUUACAUUUUCUAGACGACGUUACAUUUUCUAUACGACGUUACAUUUUCUAUACGACGUUACUUUCUUAAUGUGAAGUAACAUUCAUAAUUACAUUCUUACUCACAUUUUUUAGCUUUUAGCUCAUCUGAUUUUUUUUGAAAAAAUAAAGAGUUUUAUCAUUACUUGAUCGGCGUCGGCGUUGCCUGGUUAAUUUUUGUGUUUAGGUCGUUUAAUCCUAAAUAAUCGAAACUUGCAACACUUGUUCACCAUCAAUAGCUGACUAUGUACAACAAGAAACAUGACUCAAUCCUGCUUUUUGCAAGAAUCAUAGGCUCCUUUUGGACUUAUAAAAUAGCGUAACAACACAUGGGUAGGAUGAUAUUUCUAUUAUGCAGAGAUAAACAAAUCAGAAUAGCGUAUGCACCCACAAAGUGAUGCUCUUGUAAUUAAGAAAUUAUAUAUCUCAUUUAAUGAUAUGGCGCUGAAUAAAAUCAUUGAUUGAAGUUGUUUGGAGUUCAGAUGCGAAGGAAUUUUUACACAGGCUACAUUCUUAUUAUGACAUUUAUAGUCUUAAUUCAAUUCUUUUAAUGACAUGUCAUUGUUAAUUUCUAAAUUUCAUUCUGAAUAAAACGCCAUGUCAACUUCAAUUUGUCAUGUCAGAUUACGAAAACAUAUUCACAUUUAGAAUAUUAUGCCACAAUUAGAAUUUUAUUUGGAAUAGAACAUCAAAUAAAGUAUGUGUAUGACUAGUGGUAGGCCACAUUAAGAAUGUGAUUUAAAAUAGAACAUCAAAUAAAGUAUGUGUAUGACUAGUGGUAGGUCACAUUAAGAAUGUGAUUUAGAAUAGAACAUCAAAUAAAGUAUGUGCAUGACUAUUCAAAUUGGUAGGUCACAUUAAGAAUGUUAUUAAGAAUGAACUUAUGUAACAUUAUGUUAGCUAGUAUCAAGUGUCAAAUUUAAUUGAUAAAGUCAAUGCCCUUGAAGGGCAUUUGACAAUAACAUAAAUAGUUUUUUCGUAACCGGGCCCCUUUGUAAAAACAAUAUAUUUGCAAAUAUCAAAGUACGCGAAGAACUUCUGCACGAUCUCUAUUUCAUGCGUGCUUCGAUAUUUGCAAAUAUACUGUUUUUUAAAAGUGCACCAGUUACGAUAAAACAACAAUGAAUAAUAACUCCGUGUGUAACAGGCACGUAUUUCCAUAGUAACUGUUAAUUUAUAUUGUUGCGGAUAUUACCUUCCAUAUCUGAUACAUUUUCUGGAUUAUUGAAAACAAUGUUGUAUGAUUCAUACAUGCAUGCCAUAUAUUAUAAGUACUUGUACAUAGGUUUGUUUUAUAUGUAUAAAGGAAUUUAUGUUGAAUAGGUUUCUUAUGCAUAUUACGCUAUUUCCAUAGAAAAUGUUAUUUUAUAUCAUUUUAACAUUAAUGAUGAACAUAUUUAAAAAGAGGAUAUCCUAUGAGUGCAAAUUUAAUACUGUAGUUUUUGAAUGAGUUGAAUUCACAGCUUAUAACAAUACUGCCAUUUUUGAUACACUUAAUUAAAGAAUAAACAUUAUCUUAGAUAUCAUGAUAGGGCCUAAAUCAAGUUUUUUCAUUUUUGUCGACGGUGUACGAAUUCAGGUCAUGAUAUAUGCACGGCUGCGCUGUAUCAGUUUUGUGAUAAUAUUUCAUGAAACGUAUAAUGCUUUUUGCAGAGUAUUGAUUUCACUCAUUGUGAUAUGCUUGUAUAUUUUGUUUUAUUUUGAUGACUAUUUUGAUCAUGCAUGACAUUGUACAGGCUCUAUGUCAGAAAAAAAUGUAAUAUUUUGCAGUAUGAUAUGUCAAAAUUGUGCAAAUUCUUUAUUCACAAUCCAUAAAAAUAUACAAGUAAUAAAUAGAUGUAACUGAG